UUCCUAAAUGUUAUUCUGGGAUACAAAUAGAAUUUAUAGGCAUAGCUUUUAAAUCACGUUAGAAUUUACACAGACUUUCAGAGAUUAUUGAAUCAAGACUUUCAGAAAUGAAAAUGAUGGAAGCAGACAAGCAGGAAAAAUAUAUUCCUUUAAACAAUGACUCUGACUUGGAAGAGUUUGACAAAAGUAAAAUUUCACUGACACAGCAAACUCAAGAAGGGAAACUUCUCUCAAGAAAUCCUAAAACUAAGAAGUUUUCAUCCUGUGAUCAAUUCCAAAGACUCUGUGAUGCUUUCUUUGUGCUGUUGAUAUUAAUUUCCCAGAGAUUUUUAAGUUUCUUUGUCCUAAAAACUCAUCAAGAUUUGAGCAUGCUUAAACAAAAGGGAGCACCCACACACAUGAAAGUGAAAGAAAAACACAGUUCUCAACAGCUGCUCAGAAGCCAUUGCCAUGCUUGUCCCC
rnacentral:lncRNA from 1 species